AAUAUCUAGCUUGCAUUUUUAAGUUGUUUGCCUUUGGGACUUUGUUAACAAUUUUGGAAAAGUUGUUCAUGUUUGUAAUAUGUUUAUACACAAUUUCAAAUUCAAAAAAUGUUGAAAAAUUUCAAGAAAUGGUUAGGACAAAAGAAAAUGGUCAUGUUGAUUGAUAGUGAAUGAAAUUGAAAAUAGUAGAAGCCUUCAAAUUUGGAAAAACUACAUGCUCAUGGAUGCACUUUCUGGCCUAGUUUGGCACACUUCUUUCAGUUGGUGUAUUUUAUGGCUAUGGAUAAAUUACCCUAACUUCCUGAAGCAGCCUGACACAUACAUAUGAGGCAUCGACACCAGGUUUGAAUGACUUCGGACACCGUUUGCACAUUGUGACCCGUACGACCAUUUAUCGGCGUUUUUCACCAAUAAAACUAAAAAAAUUCAAAAUUGUCAAAAUUCCAAACUACAUGGCAUGAUGUCUUCAAUUGGGCAUGGAAGCUAGUCGAAAAACUUUUGGGGCCAUUUGACGGAUGUCGAAAAACCACGUGCUUUUAAGCGGACCCUUCUAGCUCUAGCUAAACACCCUCCAAUUAAUAUGGUCUAUUUUCAGACAUGCUUGAAGUAACCCCAACUUUUACAAGAAGGUGGGCAUGCCCAUGGUACGAAACCAUGCCUUGCUUGAACGUCGUUCGACAUGCAAGUUACGAUAUGUCUGGCCAUUUAUCGUAUUUUUUUAUGAAGAAAAUUAUAGAAAAUGCAAAAUUUGUGGAAAACAAUAAACAAUUUGACAUGGUGCCUUGAAAUGGUCAUACAAGGACAUGGAAAUGUUUUGGUCCAUUUCAUGGAUGUCGAGAAACAACAUGGUCUUAAAUAGAGCCUUUUGCGAACACACUCCGUUAAAUAUGUUCUAAUUUUGGAAAUUCUUGAAGUGACCCCAAGUUUUUCUAGCAGGUGGGCAUGCCCAUAUUAGUCAUCAAUGUCAUGUUUGAACGAAUUCUGACACCAUAUACAAG
rnacentral:lncRNA from 1 species